GGACCAUCGGCAGACUGGCAAAUCUUUCCACAAGGAAGUAGAAGGAACUAUUUUUAUUGAAUUCUAGAACAUUAGAUCCUGAGAGAACUUAUAGAUUUUAUAAACCACACCCCUUCCCCAACAUUUUACAAAUGAAGAAACUGAGGCCCAGAGAACCUAACGUGAUGUCACACGGCUGAUUAAUUAAUGGCCAGGGAAAAACUGGAAAUGUAAUUCUCUUUUCCGCUUUUUAGCAACAACUUUGUUAAUGGCACUUAUUCUAUAUUUGUCCCCAAACUAUUACUCUAGGUGGACCAGGGAAGUUUGUUCAGUUGCUCUGAAAUUGAAAACGCAGGUUGUGUAAUAUUUCCAAAACCCCAGUAAGAGGAUGUCAGAGGGAGGACCACGAGCUGCGGAUUGUCUGUGCCUGACCUAGGAGCCCCGGCCCGCACAGGGAGAAGAACCAAGGCAUGUCUCUGAUGUUGUCACAGCCCAGUGUCACCCAAAAGUCACUGUGCUCCCAUCAUCCCCAGUUCCCAGUUGAGUGGGUCCCAGCUACAUUUCCCAUGGACAUCCGUCGGGCCCAUGUGAAGAGCUAUUUCAGAGACAGAGUGUUCUAAAUCAGGCGUGGUCAGCUUGGCUUGGUGCUCUCCUAUUGGAUAGAAACAGUUUUACAAAACAUCCUGGGACCAUGAUGAAUCAAGACAAAAGCAAGACCUUCUGCAACCAUAUCUAAACAGAGGCAAAAUGUGAACACGUCCAACCUAUGAAAAUGAUCAAACAUUCCCCUCUCCUGGCUGAUAUGAAUAACUGAAGCGAGGCAAGUAUAGCUGUAGCCUUGCUUGACUCCUCUUGCCUUGUUGAUAAGAUUU
rnacentral:lncRNA from 1 species